UACGUAGGGUGCAAGCGUUGUCCGGAAUUAUUGGGCGUAAAGAGCUCGUAGGCGGUCUGUCGCGUCGGAUGUGAAAAUCCAGGGCUCAACCCUGGACCUGCAUUCGAUACGGGCAGACUAGAGUUCGGUAGGGGAGACUGGAAUUCCUGGUGUAGCGGUGAAAUGCGCAGAUAUCAGGAGGAACACCGGUGGCGAAGGCAGGUCUCUGGGCCGAAACUGACGCUGAGGAGCGAAAGCGUGGGGAGCAAACAGG
rnacentral:rRNA from 1 species